CGCCUAGUAGUUGCUCACGAGCCUCUGUCUUGGUUUGCACCUGCAAAUGGACCGACGACGACGACCACGGACGCCUCUUCUGACCGCACUGUUGCUCGUCUCGCUGGCUGCGGCGGCGGCGGCGAGCGGCGCGCCCUGCUCCGGUCUAUCAAGCCGCUCUUCGUCGGCGGCGAGUUCGGCUACGGCGAUGCCUGGAACGAGAGCACCGACUGCUGCGGCUGGGAAGGCGUGGUCUGCGGCGGCGGCGGCGGCGGCCACCACGUGGUGUCGCUGUCUCUGGUCCAGGCCGGCAUCGCCGGCGCCGUCGACGGCGCGGCGUUCGCGGCGUUCACGGCGCUGCAGGAGCUGGACCUGUCGUGGAAUCGAAUCUCUGCCUUCUCUCUUCCAUCUGCAGGAGGUGAGCGUGCAUUUCAGAAGCUUAGCAAGCUCUCGCUUUCGCACAACAGUCUAACAAAUGAAGGCGUUGCUGCUCUAGUUAUCAACCGAACUACACUUUCAGAGCUGUACCUUGGCGGAAACCAGUUACUUACAACAAGUUGGAUAUCCAAUUUGACGUCUCUUAGGGUGGUUGAUUUAUCCCAGAACUUCUUACACGGAUACAACGGUAUAUGUAACCUCCAUCAACUAGAGUACCUACACCUUGGUGUCAACAUGCUACAUGGAACCAUAAAUUCAUGCUUGGGAAAACUACAACAAUUGAAGUACCUGAACAUGGAAAGAAACUUUCUCAUGGGGGAGAUUGCACCGAACUUACUUAUCAACUUGACCAAACUGGAGACUAUACACCUGGGGGUGAACAAUCUUACCGGCACAUUCAUGCUCUCCUGGCUAGCAAACAGCUCAAACCUCGUUGAUGUUGUCCUCUCACACAACUACAAUCUGAAAAUCGAAACCGAGCUUGUGAGAUGGACACCGUUGUUCCAGCUGGUAUACUUGAAUUUAAGCAACUGUGUUAUCAAUAGGCGAAGCAAUGGAGUUGUGCCGACUUUUCUGUCAACCCAGCUUAGCCUAUCCGGGAUCGAUCUCUCGCAUUGUUCGCUCCAAGGCAGGAUUCCACCCUGGCUGUUCUACAAUCUAUCUGAUUUUGUCUUGCUCAAUGGCAAUAGAAUGGAUGUCAUUGAUAUGGAUGGGCUUGGUGAGAACAAAAUAUCGAUGUCGAUCCCGACCAACUUUGGAAGCAUUUUUCAGUUUUUGGACUACUGUGACAUGUCCUCCAACAGGUUGUACGGUGGGAUUCCAUCAUUGGCAGAGGCAACAUCAUUGGAGGUGCUUGACUUGUCAUCUAACAACCUCAAUGAGGAAAUAUUGCCAACAUUAAUAGGGAAUUUGUCAAUUCUAACAUCUCUUCUACUCUCCAAUAAUGACCUGACAGGGCCUAUGCCACCUUUCCAUUGGAAUUUGGGUAGUUUGAAGCACCUCAGCCUUGAGAACAACCGAUUCUCGGGACGGCUAUCUCCAUUGCUGUCGAACAGCAGUAAUCUCAAGACACUCAAUGUGAGAAACAACCAUCUAUCAGGAAUCAUCCCGGAUGGCCUCCUGAGCUUCCAACAGCUUGGUGUGAUCCUCCUUGGAGGGAAUGAUUUUCAUGGUCCAAUACCAUUGGACCUUUGCUUCAACAACUAUCUCCACUUUGUUGAUCUCUCCAACAAUCAAUUCUCUGGGGAGAUACCAAAUUGCUUCUACAAUGAUUUCUGGACAGAUUUGCCAAUGUACUUCAACGAUGACCCAUUCUCAGGCAAUAUCACAGAGCGCAUGUCUGUCGACUUCACGACGAAAGGCGAGAACCUUACCUACAUGGGAGAGCCUCUAGUGCUCAUGACGGGCAUUGAUCUGUCCAUGAAUCAAUUGUCAGGCGCCAUCCCUCCGCCAUUAGGUUUCCUGAGGCAGCUCAAGUCUCUAAACUUAUCACAUAACCAACUUGUUGGCCCGAUACCAGAGACAUUCAUGUAUAUGCAGGAUAUGGAGAGCCUUGACCUCUCAUACAACCACCUCAAUGGCAGCCUGCCUAUGCAGCUGGCAAAUCUCUCCUUCCUGUGCUCGUUCAAUGUCGCCUACAACAACCUCUCUGGUGAGAUACCCUUCCAACAACAGCUUGGGACAUUCGAUGAAUCGGCAUUCGAGGGGAAUGGCAAUCUCUGUGGUGAAAUCAUCAACAAAAACUGCUCAUCAGUGCUGCAUCAGAAUCAAGGAGUGUUCGACGCCAUUGACACGUCACUUGUUUUCUGGUCCUACGUUUUUGGGUGUUUUGCACUUGGAUUUUGGGGCACCGUGGCAUUGCUGAUAUGGGAUGAAGUGUGCAGGAGGAGACUGUGUGACUUGAUGGAUGCUCUAAUGUUUAAGCUGGGUUGGGAAUUUGUGCCUUGA
rnacentral:lncRNA from 1 species